GUGGUUCAACUGGUUAGAGCAUGGUGCUGAUAACGCCAAGAUUGCAGGUUUGACCGCUGUAUGGGAUGGUCGCAUAUUCCUGCAUUGCA